ensembl:lncRNA
GUCUAGCCUGCAGCCCUUCUAUCUCCCGCCUCAGUUGGAGCGUGUUAAGCAGACUUUCUUGGGGAAGUUAAGGAUACUUUGUUGCUGUUGUUGUGUUGCUGUUUCUUUCUUUCUUUCUUUUUUCAGGGAUCUGUCUCCACCCUGUCUGCGGCCAGAGAUUGGUACCUGAACAUGCAGAUGAUGUUAUGUGGUCCUGUCUGGGGAUUUAGGAUGUUGGCAAAAGUAUACUCUGAAGUUGUAACAUGUGUGUAUUGAUUUAUGAGCCUGUACUGGAUUGUUUCCUAGGCAGAGAAUUGGUAUUCAGCUGAAGAAUUCAGUCUUUGAAUCCUGAAACUUUCUACCUAACAUCCAGGAGAUGUCAGUGGUGAAGGUGGGUCUAAAGGCCAGAAGACUGAAAAAAGCUUCAGAAGACUGAAAUCCACGUGUUGGCAGGACUGCAAGCCAUCUGGACGCUGUGAGAUGAUCUGCUGCUUUGCCUUUUCAGCUUCCAGUGGCCACGGAGAGUCCCUCUGCUUGCGGCCUCCUGACACCUUCCUUGAUCUUAAAAAUGCAUCACUUCAGUCCCUACUGCUCUCAAUUUCCCUCUGCCUUUCUCUUACAAGGAGCACACUCAGCUAAUCCGAUAACAUCCCCAUCACAAGAUCCUUAACUUAAUCCUCUUAGCCACAGAAAGUAACAUCCCCAGGAUCCAGGCAGGAUUAGAAGUUGUGUACCUUUGGGGACCAUCUUUCAGCCUACCACAUUUUAGGAUGCAAAUUAUUAAAUUUGACCAGCAUCACCACUGUAUUCUUUUUAUAGGUAUGGCUCAGUGGAGAAGAGGGUGACAGAGGAUUAGAUGGUUGAAUGGCAUUAUGGAUUCAAUGGAUAUGAAACUUGGGCAAACUCCGGGAGAUGGUGAAGGACAGAAAAGUCUGGUGUGCCGCAGUCCCUGGGGUCCCAUAGAGUCAGACAAGACUCGGUGACUGAACAGCAACAGCAAUGGUAAAGAACCUGCCUGCUAGUGCAGGAGCCACAGGGGACGUAGGUUCAGUCCCUGGGUCGGGAAGAUCCCUUGAAGGAGGAAAUGGCAAACCACUCCAGUGUUCUUGCCUGGGAAACCCCAUGGACAGAAGAGCCUGGUGGUCUAUAGUCCAUGGGGUCACAGAGAGUCGGACGCAACUAAGUGACUGAACAUGUAGGCUUGCAGGGCAUUUUACACUUUAUUAACUAAAUCUUCUAAGCUAAGAAAAUAAUAUGCUUGUGACUAAAAAAAGAAAAAGAAAACAAGCGGUACAAAAUAUCUCCAAUGAAAUAUGAGCUAGGCUGGUUUUGGUGGCCAGGUGGUCACUGUAUUCUAGCCCCAGACCCUUCCCCAGAGCUAAUCAUAGUUACCUGUUCCCUGGUGUCCUUCCAGAAAGCUUUCAUAUGUGUAUUAUAUGCUGUUUAAUAUAAAUGCAAAAUGCUAUACAUGUUGCUCUGAAUUUGAACUUUCUAGUUCCUUUACCUUGGCACUCUUUCCUUAUCAACACAUCCAAUUUUAUUCUAUUUCUUUUAACUGUUAUGUAAUAUUCUGUUGAGUGGAGAUAUCAUAAUUUAUUUAAGAAUUUCUUUUUUGUGUGUGAAAUAUCAACUUUUAGAUUUUAUCCAGGAUUCUAUCUGCCACCACAGAGUCACCUACGUAAUUGUCUGUGUAUUCCUUUCCCUCUCUAUAUAAUCAGUAAUGUGUUCAUUGCUGAGUAGCAUUCCAUUGUAUAAAUAGAUCACAAUUAGCUUUUUUUUUUUCUCUUGGGGAUAGACAUAUGACUAUUUCCAGUAUUUGGC